rnacentral:tRNA from 1 species
GCCCCGGUCGUAUAGCCAGGUCAGCCGUUGCAUGGGCCUAAAGUAUAUCGGCCUCUCGAGCCGAUGAUCCCGGGUUCAAAUCCCGGCCGGGGCA